rnacentral:rRNA from 1 species
GUGUCAGCAGCCGCGGUAAUACGUAGGUGGCAAGCGUUACUCGGAAUUACUGGGCAUAAAGGGCGUGUAGGCGGAGGCGUAAGUCCGGUGUAAAAGCCCUCGGCUCAACCGGGGAAGGCCAUCGGAUACUGCGUCUCUCGAGUGCGGGAGGGGAGAGCGGAACUCUUGGUGGAGCGGUGAAAUGCGUAGAUAUCAAGAGGAACGCCGGUGGCGAAAGCGGCUCUCUGGCCCGUAACUGACGCUGAGGCGCGAAAGCUAGGGGAGCAAACGGGAUUAGAUACCCCGGUAGUCCUAGCCCUAAACGAUGGGUACUAAGUAGGGGCGACUCCGAUGUCGUCUCUGCUGUAGCCAAUGUGCUAAGUACCCCGCCUGGGGAGUACGGUCGCAAGGCUGAAACUCAAAUGAAUUGACGGGG